rnacentral:rRNA from 1 species
UGGCUCAGAACGAACGCUGGCGGCGUGCCUAACACAUGCAAGUCGAACGAGAAAGUGGAGCGAUCCAUGAGUACAGUGGCGACCGGGUGAGUAACACGUGACUAACCUGCCCUCGAGUGGGGAAUAACUCCGGGAAACCGGAGCUAAUACCGCAUAACAUCGCAAGAUCAAAGCAGCAAAGCGCUUGAGGAGGGGGUCGCGGCUGAUUAGCUAGUUGGUAGGGUAACGGCCUACCAAGACGAAGAUCGGUAUCCGGCCUGAGAGGGCGCACGGACACACUGUGAAUCUGAAACACGGGACAGACUCCUACGGGAGUUCGCAGUGGGA